rnacentral:rRNA from 1 species
AAAAACAUGGUCUUUUGUUUAUAUAAAAGAUCUUACCUGCUCAGUGAGUUUUAAAUAGCUGCAGUAUUUUGACUGUACAAAGGUAGCAUAAUCACUUGUCCUUUAAUUGAGGUCUGGAAUGAAUGGUUUGAUGAGAAAUAUACUUUAUUUAUUUUUGAUAAAAAACUUAAUUUUUAAGUUAAAAAGCUUGGAAAUUUUUUUAUAGGACGAGAAGACCCUAUAGAACUUUAUUUAUAUAAUUUUAUAUUUUUUUGGGUUAUAUAUUUUUAAUAGAAAAAUAUAAAUUUUGUUGGGGUGACAGAAAAAAUAUUAUAACUUUUUUUAAUUUUUACAUUAAUGGAUGUAUUUUUGAUCCUUUUUUUGGAAAAAAGAAUAAGUUACCUUAGGGAUAACAGCGUUAUUGUUUCGGAGAGUUCAUAUUGAUGAAAUAGUUUGCGACCUCGAUGUUGGAUUAAAAUAAGAUAUGGAAGUAGAAUGUUAUAUUCUUGGUCUGUUCGACCUUUAAAUUUUUACAUGAUCU